CCUGAGUCAGGCAGUGGAGAGAAAGCAGGCCGAGCAGCAGGGAGCGAAUCUGUUUGUAGAAUUGUGCAUGGAUUAUUCUGAGGCAGAGACAUUGGACACCAGACAGAGGCCACUGGGUGACAGAAUGAUGCUGGCAAGACCUUCUCAUCCAUCUUUUCAUCGUGGCAGAGGGGAAGCAGCGGCUGUGGAACCAGAUCAGGGUCCAGUGCGCUUUGAAGAUGUAGCUGUUUAUUUCACAGACGAG